rnacentral:rRNA from 1 species
UCGAGAAUCAUUCGCAAUGGGCGAAAGCCUGACGAUGCGACGCCGUGUGAGCGAUGAAGGCCUUAGGGUCGUAAAGCUCUUUCGCUUGGGAACGGGUACCAGAGUAACUGCUGGUACCUUGACGGUACCUAACCAGAAAGCCACGGCUAACUAC